AUACCUGUAAGAUUUACAUUGGUUCGAUCUGGAAGGAUGGGACAACUCAAAGCAAGCAGGGUUCCAGGUCAUAGAAAGAAAUGUCUGGAUUAUGAUAAGGGGUUGUGGAGAACAAGGUUUUAUCAUGCAGAUGAAGCCUUUAAGUAGCAGGCUUCAAAGGUAAUAGAUUGUAAAUGCUGGUUGAAUUUUCCUGAAUUCCAAAAGGGAGGAUGGUAUAAUGAGAUAUGUUCAAACCUGCUUCCCAUCAUGGCCUGAACUACUCUUUCAGGUUAACUUUGCAAUGCCCUCGGCCAAAAGGAGAGGUCCUUUCAGAUAACUGAGAGGCCUUAGAAUGUUAUUUCUGGUUUACAGUGUUAUCAGUUUGGAAACUGCAUCUCAAGCAUGGACCACAGGUGCUCUCUCUUUGAAGAGGGGGAAGGACAGGUUGGGUUUUUUACCUCACAGGUCCUGAAUCACACAAUAGAGAGAGACAAACGUCUUCAGGAGGUUUGGGGAAAAGCUGUACCUAUUCCCGAGGGGAGCCAAGCACAUUCACAAUGGGUAAACAUAUAUGUAACAUACGUCCCAUGCUCACUUUGGGGUGGGUGUUAGCAUUAAAGUGAGGUGGAAUUUGGGUCUUUAUUUCAAAAGGGGUGAACUAUAGACACAAAGACAGUUUGUAUGCAGUCUCUAGAAGCUGCUGAAACUGGCUUAAGAUCUGCAGUCGCUUAUCAGGAAAGAGCAUCAGUGAGGCCAGUCCUCUGUCCAUUCAGAGCUGCAGUGACCUGGGUUGUAAAUCAGGGUUAAGAGGGAUCUGAUCAUUUGCCUGCUAGCUCCCAUUCUUAGAGAAUUUAACAAAAGUGUGGGUUUCUUGUAGCCAUAGGAAUUUAGGAAGAUGCCAUGCCAGCCAAGCUGAACCCUCCAGCCAUCAUUAACUUUUGUUUCCUUAACCUUAGUGUCCAUCAUGGUUGAUGAAGGGGAGUCUGUUUUGGUCUCUCAGAUCACAGUUCUUACUGAGUUUCCAUAGGUUUCAUUGAAUAAAUGGUUCUCAGCUUGCUAUAUAUAGUUGUCAAUUAGUUAUAAUCCCUUGAUUAGACCCCCAAUGAUGUUGAAUGAUGUAUAUGCUAAUCUUACCAACUUAAUAUAUGUUUCUCCAUGGGAGAAGUUUCCCUGAGCCCCGCAUACCAUAAUUGUUGACUGCAUUUUGUCUUUAUUAUGAUUUCCUUAUGGCACCUUUUAAUAGAGUAAGAUUAAUAAAAGCCAGAAGCAUUUGCAAUAACAUUUUUAAUGUUACUAUAUAAAGCCUUUAUCUCAUCCAUCUGGGCCACUGCUUCUGGCAUUUACUUUCCUAAAUUGUUACAAUUUCCCCCAAUCCAACACACAAACCCACAUCAACUCCUGAUAUUUGUAAGCCCUUGUGUUGUAUUCCCUGUGUAAUUUGAAUCUUCUCCUGCUCCAGCUGUGUCUUGUCUCUACUUGGGGUACAAUUAAUAGCAGAGCCAGUCAUGUCCUACCAGCAUUCCUUUUAUACAGGCUGGAUAUAUGUGUCAUUGACUAACAACAUCAACAAUGAAAUGAAUCUGAGAAAACAGGAAAUUGAGAGCAAGAGAAAAAAAACCUGAAACUUGGAAGUGAGCAUGAUGGAGUGGAUACAGUGAGAUGCAGAAGAAAUCCUCCAGUUUGGGCUGGAAGGGAAAAAAGAGACCCCUAAAACUCAGAGACAGUGGAAGAAAUUCCUGGUGUUUUUUUCUUCUCUUUUUCUCUGUUCUUCCACAUAGCAAUUUAGUAUUGACUACAGCAUCUCUGUUACAAUGAUAGCACCGAAAUGUUGUAACCAUAUGGCCUGCAAAGCCAAAAAUACUUAUCUGACCAUCUACAGGAAAAGUUUGCUGAUCUGGAUGAAAUAUUCUGAUACUAAAUAUUCCAUUUUGAGGCUGAUAUUCCUAAUCUAUUCAUAAGGAUGGCAUAUCUACCCAGUGGGCCUGCUGGGACUCCAGUUACCCGAUGCACAUACAUUGCUUGGUGGUCAGUAAAUAUUAUUUUGCUUUCUUUAUUCCUUUGUGGAAAAAUUUCAGGUAGAGAAGAAACCUGAAAUAAUUUGAAGAACUUUAAAAUUUUUUUCACCCACUAAUUUAUAUUCUCAUUAGCAAAAAGAACCGAAUAUUGGUAGCUCUAUACUUUAUAAUAAAGAUGUGGAACUUCUUGAUUACUCUUUCCUUCUUCUACGUUGACUCAUUCUAUCACUAUUAAUUCACUCAGGAAAUGCUGAUUGAGCAGCUCCUUUGUAUAGAUGUUAAUAGCACGGUUCUCGCCAUAGGUCACAGAGGUUGGUUUGCUGAGCAACUCUGAGAACCCGUUUUUAAGUUCCCUGACUCUCCUAUUCACUGGAAUGGAAUGCCUUGCUGUCUGGGCCCUCCUUGCUUCACCUUCCAAUGAACUGAAAUCAUCACACUGAUCCUAUUGUAGCGGAGAGUGGUGUGUUAAAACCAUAACCAUAACCCCGUCUGGAGACCAGCCUCAGCUCUGUCGCUUUCUUAUCUCUUCAGAUGCAGCAGAUAGUUACCUCUAACUUUUAGUUUGCCUCAGACAUUAAGAAUAAAAUCAUAUUCAGCAUAAUUUAGGUGUCAUUCUCCACAUUCCACUGGUGCUAACAAACAUUUUUGUAUUGUUCCCAUGUGUCAACAAUAGCAAUCUGUGGCUCAUUAUAAGUGACAGCAAAUGUCAACAAGCCUGCCUCCUGGAGAUUUGUUUGUAAAGAUUCCUUAUCAGUUGUUGUUAUUUAUACCCCUGGCUUCUAUCGUCAUUGAUUAUUCUAUAUAUUUUCCUCCUUCAAGUGAAUGUACAAAGAGACCAAGAAAACCUCAGUCAAACUUGGAAAUUUCCUUUGUAAUAUUCUUUUUAAAGUUAGUUAUGUGGCAGUUUCGUGUGCAUUUUUGGUGAUGAUGCUCCACGGAACAUCUGCAGAUGUGCUGUCAAUUUGGACAGCUCUGACUACCGAGUGAAUGGGAAGUACUAACGAGAACUGUCUGCUUGGGAACUCCAUGAAGUUCGUGGCUUUUGUGAUUGAAAUAGCAUCAAUAAAAGGUUGACACUGUGGAACAACACAAGCCUGCAUGGACCUGGUUAUCUCUGACCUCGCACCACUCAUGAGACCAUACCUGAGCCCUACUCCACUUUGGCAGAACUGUUGCAUGGCCUCUCUUCAUAUAAUACCUCUCCGUACACCGUACACCGCAGCUCAAAGAAAGGAUAUAUGCUCCCUGUGAAGACUAAUGGAACUGUCCCUCCUGAUCCUCCUACAGACUUCCUCUGGCCUAAUGGGUGCACCAUUGCAUUAUAUCUGCCAUCUAUACACACAUAUACCUUUCAACCCUGCACUCUCUGAGAUGACUGGACUCAUGCCUAAAUAACUGAUGCUGUCCCUAGUGUAAGGUAAGCACUCAAUAGUUUCUCAGGAAAUGAAUAUGAUAAAUAUUUUGGCUGUUUAGAGGCUUUCCUUCACUUCAUUUUCUGUGUCCUCUUAUUUAAAAAGAAGUGCUCACUA
rnacentral:lncRNA from 1 species